rnacentral:misc_RNA from 1 species
GUUGAAACAGUUUGAAAGCCUCACAGGCAGAAUGUACUGUGAGCUCGAUCUCAUUACCCUUUUAGUACUUGAAGCAAAGUUGAUUAAUAAUGUGCAUUUCAUAUUAGCAUAUUAACAUUUAACAAAAUGCCUAAACCAGAAGGGCAUGGCAUCUUUGCAUCGGCACCAUAACACUGAAAUUGCACGUAGCAACCCCAUGCCUCCUCCGUAUCCAGAAUCCUGUGAAACAUACAAAGGUCCAACAGAGUUCCACAGCCUGUUAGCUUCAUACAAGGUCAGAGAAAUUACCUGGAAUAUCAAGUAGAAAAGGUUAGACCAGAAAUGAGUAUAUGUUUUAUAACUGAAAAAUAUCUCAAGGGAAGAAAUUU